rnacentral:tRNA from 1 species
GCCUGGCUGGCUCAGCUGGUGGAACAUGUGACUCUUAAUCUCAGGGCUGUGAGUUCAAGCCCCACGUUGGGUG